GGGCGUCUAGCUCAGUUGGUAGAGCGCGUCAUUAGCAUCUCGCUAGCAUUGACGAGGUCUUUGGUUCGAUUCCUAAGUCGUCCA
rfam:Trichosporon asahii var. asahii CBS 8904 unplaced genomic scaffold scaffold00105, whole genome shotgun sequence.